rnacentral:rRNA from 1 species
UGUAUGUUGACGUAUUCUGAAAGGAUACUUCUUCGGACAAUAUACAAGGUGCUGCAUGGUUGUCGUCAGCUCGUGCCGUGAGGUGUCGGGUUAAGUCCCAUAACGAGCGCAACCCCUAUCAUUAGUUGCCAUCAGGUCAAGCUGGGGACUCUAAUGAAACUGCCUACGCAAGUAGUGAGGAAGUGGGGAUGACGUCAAAUCAGCACGGCCCUUACGUCCAGGGCUACACACGUGCUACAAUGGCCGGUACAAAGGGCAGCUACCUGGUGACAGGAUGCUAAUCUCAAAAGCCGGUCUCAGUUCGGAUCGGAGUCUGCAACCCGACUCCGUGAAGCUGGAAUCGCUAGUAAUCGUGGAUCAGCCAAGCCGCGGUGAAUACGUUCCCGGGCCUU